rnacentral:lncRNA from 1 species
UUUUUGGAGUUUUUGAACAUAUCCAACUCAACUUCAUUAUAAAGUUAAUCUAUUUUAGAAUAAAAAAUAAAUUUAUUCUAUUUAUUUGUUUCAUAAAAAUUGUUAUUUAAAAAAUAUUCACACAUACUAAAAAUUAUGUUUUAUUAUUUAUGUAUACACUAAAUACAUUUUCUCUAAUAAAUACAUUAAAACAAUAGAGAUAAAAAAUAAAUUUAAAUUUAGAUCUUCGUAUAAAAAAUAUAAACAAAAAAAAAUUGCAUUGAAAAUAUAAAUUAACAAUCUUUGUAAAAAAAACUUUAAAAUGACAAUAUUUUGAAACAGAAAGAGUAGUAAAAUUUACAUCUUAUUAAUAUUAUACUAGAUUUUGACCCGUGC